CCUGUCCCCAGACUGGCUGGCAGCUUCCAUAAAGCCUGAGCCGAGGACCCAGAAAGUCUUCUCCAGCCCCUGAGACUUUAAAAUCCCAUGUUGUGAGACAAAAAAGAAAAGAUCUUGUGACUCUGAAUUUGGAGACAGUGGGUGUACGUAGUCACACAGUGAUGCGCUUGGUCAAGGCCUAUCAAAUGGAACUGAAAGGGCUGGAACCCAAAGAUAAAAAACAGUGGAAUCACAGACAAUCACAGAUGAACUACAACAGAUGAUCCAACAGCAACAGAAAGACUUUUCAGUCAUUUCUGAGUCAUGUCCAACUCUUCAUGACCCCUUUUGAGGUUUUCUUGGCAAAGAUACCGGAAUGGGCCAUGUCCUUCUCCAGCUCAUUUUACAGAUGAGGAAACUAAGGCAAGCAGGAUGAAGUGAUUUGCUUAGAGUCACUCAAAUGGUAAGUAUCUGAGGCCAGACUCAUGAAGAUGAAUUUUUCUGACUCUAGACCUGGCGCUUUAUCCACUGUACCAUCUAGUUGACCUCUGUAGCACGUGAAUGCAAUGGGAUAUUAAAUCUGAGGACGUUCAGAGACAACUCAAUUUGUACAAACUGAUGUGGAGAACAAUUUGCAUGAUAACAUAAUAACGUAAAGAGAAGCAACAUUGGAAGACUCCAACACUUUUCUCAAUGGAAGGUCCAGGGAUGAUGGGAGGAUGGAUGCUUUGGGGAUCAUGCUCCUGCCUCUCAGCACACAGGUCCGCUGGGCUCUACAUGUGGAAUGACGCUUACAUUUUCAGAGGUGGCUAAUAUAUUGAUUUGUUUUUAUUGAUUCAACAAAGAAGGAUUCUAUUAGGGUCAGAGAUGAGGUAACAAUUAUGUAGCAAAAGAACAACAAUAAAAUAUUUUUUAAAAAGACAAAUGAUGGAUUCAAGCAGUUUGUGGUCUUAUUACUGAUCAUGACUUGUGAGGGAAGAGUGAUAUCGAGGACUCCAUCAAUUGUUGGAAUCCUUACUAACUGCUAACUAAUUAGAGUUGAUCUAAUCUUACAAGAAGAUUUUGGGCAGAACCUGAAACAAGGUACUAAGUAGAACUAAUUAAUACAAGGCUUGUGUUCACACCUUUACUCAUUGGAGUUCACAAGUAUGCCAGCUUCACAAAGUAAACUUUUUAACUUCAAGGGAGUUCACACCUUGUUUCAGGUUCUGGCCAAAAUCUUCUUGUAAGAUUAGAUCCACUCUAAUUAGUUAGCAGUUAGUAAGGAUUCCAACAAUCAAUAACAGGAAUGAGGAGAAAAGGAGCUGGCUGAUUAGGUAGAAAAGGGAAAGGAAGCAGUUGAACAGCCUGAGCUCUGUACUGAUGUCCACAAAAUAUUGAAAAACAAAAAAACAGAGAGAAUGCCCUGAAUAUGUUAGUUAGAUCCUCUAUGGAGGAUUUAGGGGGAUGAAUAAAUGGAAAAACAUUUACUAAGUUUUUACCAUGUGCCAACUGUACAAGGUAUAGGGAAUACAAAUAAAAAGUAAAGAAAGUCCUGCCUCAAGGAGCAGGACUCUCUAAUGGGAAAGACAAGAGUGGUGGGCAGGGAAGAGUUCUGUGGUGUGGGGAAUCACAGGGGUAGUUAAGGAGGCCCUUUCCAGAAGCAAUGGUAAUAUUAAUUUAAUACUGUGCCCAGAGCAAUGGGUGUAAGGAGGUCCUGCCCGAGUAAGAGGUGAGAGGGUAUCCACUGUGGCAGAGGGGUGGCCAGAUGAUGGGUGGAUGAUUAAAUAUUAUGUAACACAGAGCCUGGGGUCAAUUAGGCAGAACGAGUUAGAUGAGUUUGUGCUCACUCAUCAAUCAGAAAGUCAAAUCACAGGACCAAGAUCCAAAGCUGGAUGGAUCAACAGGAAGGAGAGAGGGAAGAUACUGAAUCUGGAUCAGGUCCAGAAGAUAGCUGCUCCAGCUGGGAAUAAGGGGUGCAACAGAUGGAAGACAUGGUGAUGGAUAAUGGACAAGAAUUGCACAAAAAGAGUAAGAACAAAUGGACUUGAUCUUCUCUGGUGGGGAUACUAGCCACUAGCCAUUGGAUCAUGGAUCCAAUGAAUGAUUAAAGUAUUUCCACUUUGAUUUCAGAAGUCUGCAAUAUAUUAUGUGUCUUGCUUUCUAAAUUUAUCUAGCACUUCUUAUGUGCUGAAGAACAUGAUUUUUGUGAGCCUUUCAGUGUGUAUUUGAGAAAUGUAUAUUUCCCUGCUUUUUCGAUUAAAUUUUCUGUGUCUUUUUCUUUCUCCCUCCCCCUCCCUGUUUGUCUCCCUCCCCCAUCUCUCUCCCUUCCUUUAUCCCUUCUUCUUUACCUAUAUCUUUUUCUCCUUCUUUCUCUAUCUUCUUUUUCUCUCUUAAAGAUAGCUAGAGUUAACAAUCUGUUUAAGUUAGUAAUAUUUCUUAUCUAUCUUUUUUGCUUGGUUAUAAUAUUCUCAUAGUUGACUGCUGAAAUCUCAAUUACUUUUUCUAUCAAUUUCAGCAUGUGAACAUGUUAUGUUUUUCCUUGACCCAAUCCCACAAAUUGGUAUAUAACUUGGUAUAUAAUUGAUAUAUAUAUAUUUGUAUAUGUGAGAAUUGCAUUCAGUUCAGACGGAGUGCUUCACUGAUAUCUCCCAAAUAUGAAAAGAACCAAAGUGGAUGCUCUAGCAUUUUGAAUCUCAGAGUCUGACUUUGAAUUCUGGUCUGCUACUUAUUAUCUGUGAAACCUUAGAAAAGCCCCUUAACCUUGCUUGGUCCCAGUUCCUUAUUUGUAAAACCAAAGAGUUGGAUUAGAUGCCUCUGAAUCCUUGUCCUGGUUGAACAGAGGUCUGAUUUUGCUCUUAAAUUGAAGAGCCCAUUUUCUCAUGUAUAUGCUAUAAUCUACCCUAACAGAUACCCUUCCUUACUUCUGCUUUACUGCUUGCUUGGAUAACUAUAUUUGCUUGCUAUCUGUGAUUGUCUUUUAUUUUAUAAACAUUUGAUAAGAGAGAGUUAAGCUGGCAAAAGUAAACUAUUACCCUUCUCUGUUGAAUCAUCAAAGGAACUGACUUUAUCCUGAACUCUGAAAAGAGUAUUCUGUCUCUAAACUGUAAACACCUGACAUGGAGUAGAUAGGUAUAAUUUGAGACCAAUAUCUCUCUUGGAAAUAGGAGAGUUGAGGAGUGCCCAGCUUUUCUGCUCUGCCCAAAGCAGGAAAUCACAGUUUCCCUGGAGACAUGGUAGGCCAGAUUCCAGAUCAGCUCAUAUCUGUCUAAAUAUAUACCUGAAACGUGGGCCAUCUCAGGUCCCUGUGGUUCAGGUCAGACCUAUUAAAUUAUAAUCCAAUGUUAUCAUUUAUGAAAAGACAUGAAAGAAUGAGAAUAACAUAAGAUGAGAAGGCCUGGAGAAGUCUGUAGUAGUGAAGGAAAUACCCACACCAAUAAAAUUCUAGAUCUAUUAGAAUAUCUGAUUUCCUCAAAAAUAGUGAUAAAAUUCUUAUCUUUUUUGGGGGGUGUUCUGGGACACCAAUAAUACUGAUGCCUCUUCUUCUAAUCCUGUUAUCCAGGUACAUGACUUUCCCCUCCCUAUUUUUGAUUUUUUUCCCCAUUUUUGUGAUUUUUCUGAAUUUCUUCUGAGCACCACAGUCCUGAUGGAUGGGGGUUUUCUUGAUGGAUGAGAACUUAUCACAUUUACUUAAAGCCAGAUUCAUCAUCUCCUUCCCUCUUCACAAUGUGCUCCAGAACCUCCCCAUAAGCUUCCUGGCUUUCCAGCACCUCUACCUCUGGGAACUUUUUAAAUGAACACUUUCGUUUCUAAAACAUCAUGUCAAUCAAUUGCCCUAUGACGUCACUCAUCAUUCCUGUGAUUUCCCAAAAUACCACUCUCUGGCCACUACUCACCUAUAUUUGUGUUGUCUAUCCCUAUUAAAAUGUAAACACCUUGCUUUUUGUAUUUGUAUCUACAAUGCUUAAUGUAACAUUUGGCCUCUAGUAAAAAGUGCUCAAUAAAUGCUUUUUCAUUCAUUCAUUUUCUAUUUCAGUUGCAUUGUCUAUCCAUAUUUCUCUGUUGAAUUAUUUCAACUUUUUUUAAAGACAAUUUAGUGAAAUGUUUUGGUUAUAGUCCUGCUAUACAUUAGGAUCAUAACAUUUAAAAGAACUUCAGAGAUCAUUAAGACUAACCCCUUUAUUUUACAGACAAGGAAAUUGAAAACUGGGGGAAAGUGACUUGUUCAACUUUACCCAUCGAGUAGAUAGCAGAGCAGAGAUUUGGACACUUCUGAUGUCAAGUCCAGCAUUCUCUGCCCCAUUAUACCAUACUGUCUUUCCUGUACAAUGUUGGACUUGGUGCUAUUUUCUAUUUUUAGCAGAUUUUUUCCAUUCUCAUCUGAGGUUUCUUAGCUACUAUCCUAUCCUACUUGAAUUCCAGUUCCUUGAGAGAUCCAAUGUUCCAUCUCAAACAAACUUCAUUUCAGACCUGGAAACUGGGCUAACUGAGAUGGGAUUGGGGUAAAGGGAAGAGAAUAUGGACUUUAUAUAUAUAUAUAUGUACAGGCGUCAUGAUAAGUAUGUUUUGCAAAUAUUAUCUGAUUUGAUCCUUACAGUAACUUUGGGAACUAUUAUUAUGCCCACUAUACAGUUGAGAAAACUGAGUUAAAUAGCGAUUAUGUGACUUGCCAAUAAGCAACUGAGGUUGGAUUUGAACUUAGGUCUUCCUGGCAUUAGGACCAACACUCUCUCCAUUUAACCACCAGCUGCCAAUGGGACUUAAGAGUUUGAUUCUUAAAUGAAAGAACAAUUCUCUAUCUAGAAAGGAUUGGGAUAUCCAUGGUGUUUGGGGUAAGAGACUAAUACUGCAAAGUACCAAAAUGAAGUUUCUUUUUUUUUUUUUUUUUAAUCAUAUCCCAUUUACCUCCUGGGGUAGGGGAGUGGUGAUGGGCUGCUUGUCACUCAUGUUUGGAUAGAUCUUGGGGAAGAUAUGAGGAGAGGAGAUCUGAUAGCUUUGGGUUUGGGAGGUUGGUUCCUAAAGCUUUUCUCCUAAGCAUUAGUCAGCUCUUACCAGACAGAGAGCCUAAGUUGUGACUUGAAAAACAGCUAGACAUCCCACAGGACUGAUGAACUGUUUCUUCAUUUUGUGUAUGGGGAGGAAACGUUCAGCAGAGUAAAUGCAAGAGCCAAGCCACCCUCUUCCCUAUAGCCUUUAAGGGCACGGCUUAGAAUGUUCAGCAAAUAUUUAUUAAGAUUUUCUUAAUUUGUACAGAAGGAGGCAUAAGAAGAAUGUACAAGAGGUCAAGGAAGUGGAGAACUGGGUCAAGGAGAGGGAAGCUGGGGGAAAGGGAAUAAAGACAUUUUACUCCUUUUUAAUUUUCCUCAUUCUCACUCCUACUUGCCAAACUUCUAUCUGGACAAGUUUUCUCAUCUGUAAAAUGAGGGAGGUUGGACUAAAUGACUUCUAAGUUUCUUUCUACUCUUUUGACCCCGUGAUCCCAAGCCUAUCACCUUGGGUAAGAUGUGAGAUGUGCAAAUGUUAGAGAAUCCUCCAUAAAUGUUCACAUGGGUUAUUUGUACCCAAAUUUCUGCACAAAUUUGACUGGCCACAGUUGGACACACUGCAACUUGACUCUAACAUAGAUUGUUAUUUUGGCCCUUUUCAAGAACUAGGGACAAUAACCAACCAACCAAUCAUUUUGGGUCAUUCUGUGCCUUUCUUUUUUUUAACCUAAAAACAGAAUAGCCCCUAAAUACCUCAAUGAAUGGGUCACUGAUCUGACCAAAUGUGGAAUUUCUUAAGUACCCUUUCUAACCGGGCAGCUAUGGCGACCUCAGUUUCCUCAUAUGUAAAACAGACAAUGGUGAGGAAAGUGCUUUUAGACCAGAGAGUAUUAAAGAAAUCUCAGCUAAUAUUAUUUGCUCAUCUCUUGUUUGUUAAGGAGAAGUUUAAGGAUAUUUAAGUUUUACCACUUGCUUGAGAUCAUGAAAGGCAACUCUGGUCUCUCCCACAACCUCUAGUCAAAUUAUGGAAUUCUGGACUAUCUCAAAUAAAUCAUGGUUAUAUAAAAACUCUCAGAUCACUUUAAAAUGUCAUUUACCUCUCUAGGACUCUGUAUCCUUAUUUAUCAAAUGGGAUGGGACUUAUAUGACCAAAAUCACAUUUUUUUUUGUGUGUGUGUGUGAAGAAAAUAAAUGCUUUGUAAACCUUAAGGGCUCUAAUUGUGAGCUAUUGUGGAGAGAACCAUAGGCUCAUGUAAGGAGGGACCUUGGAGGUCAAUUAGUCCAACUUCCCCAUUAUACAGAGGAAAAAACUGAGAUCAGAGAAAGGAAGUGAAUUGCCCAGGAUCACAGAGGGGGGUUAAUUCUGAUCUUGCUACAUCUAGUGGAGGGCCAGAUUUCACAAAACUUGGAUUGGAAACUUAGCUAGACCACUUACCAUUUGUGAGCGCCUGGAAAAUCACAGUAACUCUGACCCUCACUACAUGGGGACUAACGAUCCUGGCAACCCUUACCUCAUAGGUCUGAGGAGGCAAAAAGUGCUUGUAAACAUCGAAGUGAUAUAAAAAAUGGAUACUGUUACGUAAGGACACAUUUAAAAAAAAUUAUAGGCUUCAGCCUUCCCUUACACAUUAGACUUUCCAAUAUACAGUAUAUACAUUAUACAACUGACAUUUAAAUUCCAUGCAGUGACCUAUCAACAGGAGGGGACAGCACGUUGGGGUAGGGUGGUGGAUGUAACUGGUUAUCUCCCAAUCCAGAGCCAGCUGAGGUGGGUGGGCUUUGUGUUUAUGGGGAAUAAUUCUGAAUGUCCAUGGUACUGUGAAAGCCUUCCUCAAAAGUAUUUCCCUUUAAGAAGGAGAAAUAUCUACCCAACUAUGGAAACCAUUGUCUGCCAGCAACAGGAAAACAGCUUGUCAGAGUUGGGAGGGCUGUUAGAACACAGAGUGUCAGAAUUGGAAGCUACCUUAGAAUACAAGGUGUUGGAACAGGGAAAGCUAGAAAGAAUUUUAGGACCUAGAAUGUAGAAAGUCAUAGUUGUAGAAAGCCUUAGAACAGAGAAUGUGAGAGAUGGGAGGGCCCUUAGAACUCAGGAGGUCAGGGCUGGGAGGGCCCUUAGAACAGGGGAUGUCAGAGCUGGGAGAGCCCUUAGAACCCGGGAGGUCAGAGCUGGGAGGGCCCUUAGAACCUGGGAUGUCAGAGCUGGGAGGGCCCUUAGAACACAUGAUGUCAGAGCUGGGAGGGCCCUAGAACUGGGGAU